rnacentral:rRNA from 1 species
CCGAACCCACUCCCGUUGAAAUGGUAGGGGAUGAGGUGUGGAUAGCGGAGAAAUUCCAAUCGAACCCGGAUAUAGCUGGUUCUCCCCGAAAUAGUUUUAGGACUAGCCUCGUGAUCAAGAUUAUCGGAGGUAAAGCACUGAAUGGCCUAGGGGUCGAGAGAUUACCGAAGCCUAUCAAACUCUGAAUGCCGAAUAAUCAUGCACGGGAGUCAGACUGUGUGAGAUAAGUUUCAUAGUCGAAAGGGAAACAGCCCAGACCUACAGCUAAGGUCCCAAAGUACGUUUAAGUGGAAAACGAUGUGAAAUUGCGUAGACAACCAGGAUGUUGGCUUAGAAGCAGCCAUACAUUAAAAGAGUGCGUAAUAGCUCACUGGUCGAGUGACUUUGCGCGGAAAAUUUAACGGGGCUAAAACGUACACCGAAGCUUAGGCUUGUCACAAUGUGACAGGGGUAGGGGAGCGUUGAAUGAGGGGUGAAGUCGUAGCGAAAGCGACGGUGGACUUCAUUCAAGUGAGAAUGCCGGAAUGAGUAGCGAGAAUUAUGUGAGAAUCAUAAUGGCCGAAAGCCUAAGGUUUUUGGAGGAAGGUUCGUCCGCUCCAAGUAAGUCGGAAGCUAAGGUGAGGCUGAAAAGCGUAGCCGAUGCACAAACGGUUGAAAUUCCGUUACCACAGAAAGAUUUAAACUAAGGGACACUUUUGAAGAGCUGAUGCCGGGUGUUGGUUACCCCGGUCGUAAGGGAACGAAAUCAAGUAGUGAAGUCAGCGUGGAUGAAGGCGAGAAAAGCUUAGUGUAUAUCUUAUGUGUCCGUACCGCAAACCGACACAGGUAGGUAGGAAGAGAAUUCUAAGGCCAACGGGAGAAGGGUAGUUAAGGAACUCGGCAAAAUGUCCCCGUAACUUCGGAAUAAGGGGAGGUUUCUACGGAAACCCGCAGAGAAUAGUCCCAGGCAACUGUUUAUCAAAAACACAGCUCUAUGCUAAAUCGAAAGAUGACGUAUAUGGGGUGACGCCUGCCCGGUGCCGGAAGGUUAAGAGGAGGAGUGAGAGCCCUGAAUCGAAGCCCCGGUAAACGGCGGCCGUAACUAUAACGGUCCUAAGGUAGCGAAAUUCCUUGUCAGGUAAGUUCUGACCCGCACGAAUGGCGUAAUGAUCUGGGAGCUGUCUCAACUGCCCGCCCGGCGAAAUUGUAGUACCGGUGAAGAUGCCGGUUACCCGCGACUAGACGGAAAGACCCCAUGGAGCUUUACUGUAGCUUAAUAUUGGAUUUCGGCAUUUCAUGUACAGGAUAGGUGGGAGACUAGGAAACAUAGGCGUCAGCUUAUGCGGAGUCGUCCUUGGGAUACCACUCUUGGAGUGCUGAAAUUCUAACCUGCAGCCCUGAAUCGGGUUGGGGGACAUUGUUAGGUGGGCAGUUUGACUGGGGCGGUCGCCUCCAAAAAGGUAACGGAGGCGCUCAAAGGUUGGCUCAGCAUGGAUGGAAACCAUGCCAUAGAGUGCAAACGCAAAAGCCAGCCUGACUGCGAGACUGACGGGUCGAGCAGAAACGAAAGUUGGAGUUAGUGAUCCGGCGGUAUGUGAAUGGAAAUGCCGUCGCUCAACGGAUAAAAGCUACCCUGGGGAUAACAGGCUGAUCUCCCCCAA